UCCUGGUCACAAACAAAAAUGUGAGCAGUGUUUCAGUAAUCCUAGCUGUCUUGGCGUGGGCUGCGGUGUGGUCAGAGGUGUCUGCUGAUGGCCUAGUUAAUGUGAGAGGAUCAUAAACAGAGACUUCUGGAAAGUCCGGUUAGGAGCUCAGUGGACGUAAUCUCACAGCUGUGCAGUGAAGCUCGUGAAGGGCUUGGCCUUUGGGUCAACAUGGGAAAUUCUUGGAAAUUGCAGCAAUUUAAACACACUGGCAUGUCCUUCUGACAAGGCUCACGAUGCAGAAGAAAGAAGAAGAAAAACAUUUCCUCCACUCAGAUAAGGAAGGAAAGGGAAGAGACUUAAGAGAAGAUUUUACUGACUUCAGUUUAUUUGAGAGUAAAAGCAAGAAUUUCAUCUCAGCUUGUUUGUAACACAAUAACCUUCCAGACCUAUUUACACUGCGGUUCUCGAUUUCUAACAGCAAAGAUGUUAAAAACAGACAGCCCACAUCCACACAGCCAAACGACUCUUACUAAAAUGAACAGGAUAAGUCGAAUCUUUGACUAUGACUAUGCUCUGAAGACUUAAAAAUAGUCAGCAGGAUGGAUGACCGUAAAGCUCACAAUAACAAGCUGUUUCGAUAAGUAUGUGAGCAAAUGAACGACGCCAAUUAUACAGCAAAUUAAAAACAGAUCUGUCCACAAACAAGACACAGGUGAUAGCAAUAACUAAGGGGUGGAGCUAGGAAGACCAGAAGAAGUUAAACAGAAAAAAGGGCAGAGCCAGACUACAGAAACUGACAGCAACAAUUUGUAAACAUAUUUAUCUGCACAGUAAACAUUUAUUUAAAAAAAAA